rnacentral:rRNA from 1 species
CGUAGGGCGCGAGCGUUGUCCGGAUUUAUUGGGCGUAAAGAGCUCGUAGGCGGCUUGUCGCGUCGACUGUGAAAACCCGCGGCUCAACUGUGGGCUUGCAGUCGAUACGGGCAGGCUGGAGUUCGGUAGGGGAGACUGGAAUUCCUGGUGUAGCGGUGAAAUGCGCAGAUAUCAGGAGGAACACCGGUGGCGAAGGCGGGUCUCUGGGCCGAUACUGACGCUGAGGAGCGAAAGCGUGGGGAGCGAACAGGAUUAGAUACCCUGGUAGUCCACGCUGUAAACGUUGGGCGCUAGGUGUGGGGGGCCUCUCCGGUUCUCUGUGCCGCAGCUAACGCAUUAAGCGCCCCGCCUGGGGAGUACGGCCGCAAGGCUA